GGCUUUGUGGUCUAGCGGUAUGAUUCUCGCUUAGGGUCAAACUCUAGGUCAAAUAUGCGAGAGGUCCCGGGUUCAAUUCCCGGCAAAGCCC